rnacentral:rRNA from 1 species
UACGAAGGGGGCUAGCGUUGUUCGGAAUAACUGGGCGUAAAGGGCGCGUAGGCGGAUUUGCAAGUCGGGGGUGAAAUCCCGGAGCUUAACUCCGGAACUGCCUUUGAUACUGCAGGUCUGGAACCUGAGAGAGGAGAGCGGAAUUCCUAGUGUAGAGGUGAAAUUCGUAGAUAUUAGGAGGAACACCGGUGGCGAAGGCGGCUCUCUGGACGGGUGCUGACGCUGAGGCGCGAAAGCGUGGGGAUCAAACAGG